GCCGCCAUUUUUGUUUGGGGCAAGCUUGACUGCCCUGGGGCGGCCUGGCAGGGCCCAGCGCGACCUGGGCCACAACUGCGGACCCGCCCGCGCCUCAGGGCCCAGGGCGGUGGGAUGCAGAGGCCGGGCCCCGCAGGGCGACCACCCGUCCCUAACUAGGCGACACCGUCCCGCAAUGCGAGUCCCGGUGCCGGGCUGCGUGACAGCAGUUGUCGCGGGUUUGCAGCAUCCGCAGGGGCGGGAAGCGGCCGGUUUCCCCGGCAGCGUCCGGGGGGCGCGAGCAGAGAGAGAUCCUGUGAACACCAGGAGGAGCAGCUGGUCAAGCCUCUCAGCAGGACCACAAUGACUAUACAUCCACCCAACAUUUUAAUAUCAGGCCAGCCUUGAAAGUGGUAAGCUGUCCUUCCAGCUAGAGAUGAAAUGCCAAUCCUGAGCCAAAUUUCAACACCUACAUUUUAAUGGUCACCUUUAAAAUCCCUGACUCCGGAGUGCUCACUAAACAUUGGAUAUUUCUAGCAUCUCACUGGAUGUCCUAUCUGCAGAGAGAGAGAUGGAGGCCUUGUGCACUAGCAGCAUAGAGCUGUACCAGAGGGGCAUAGAUAUUACAAUAACAAACACAGUUAAUGAACCUCAGCUCCUGGAUUAGGAUGUUGGUAUGAACUGUGCAGAUAUUCAGCCCUGAGGCAAAGAUUGGCAUGAUGUAUUUAAGCCUUCUCUUCUUACUGGCUGAGUCAUCAACCAGUUGUGGCAUAAGCCACUCAGCUGGUUACUUAACUGGAAUAAAAGUGCUGGUGACAACAACCUGCCCAGAGCCAGGCAUGAGAAAGGCCUAGAAUUGGGUUGCAGCCCCCAGGGCUACAUAACCCUCUCUGAACCUAUAGCAUCAAGUGGAUACAGAUUCCAAUGGAAAAGCAGGUUGGUUUAACUGGUAAAAAUGAAAUUAAGGAAAUAAUAAUAAUAUUAAUAAUACAUGAAAAACCAAGAGAGGCAGAGUUUGUUUGAAAUGAUACCUCACAGGUCAGUAUGGAAGUCUGUCAGCAGUGGUUAAUUACUUCAGCACAUGUUAGCCAAUGCAGGGAGACCACUGCACAGUUGUGUAUGCUCAAAACACCUUGAUGAGCCAAUUUCUUCUUAGCACAGCCACGUUUCCCCUGCUGGCAGACCAUGCACCUUCCAGCCUGACAGUUCAUGGAAUCCCUGAAUUCAGCAAAGAGCUUUCACUUCUAUACAGCAAAGAUACAUGUCCCUAGUGCAACUGCUUCUACUUGUGUGCGUCUCAAAACCGGGAGGAAAGCAUUUUUAAAAAAACAACUUGCCACAUCCCCCAUCCAAUAUUCUAUUUCUUUUCGGCUUCUGCAAGUCUCUAUGGCUAGCAGCUUAUGUGCCACUUUAUGUGGUCUGAUAAACUGCAGGAGGAAUAAAGCGCCCACUGCACAAAAAUUAAAUAAAAAAAUAACAAAACCGAAAAGUAUAAAAAAGCAAUAAAAAGGAAAGCAGCAACCUCACAUGCUGGCCCAACCUCUGUAUGGGCUCCAGACAUUAACUCAUAGCAGUAGAAAAUAAAGAACUGGUUUGCUGUUCUCUCCUCUGA